CCUACGGGAGGCAGCAGUGGGGAAUAUUGGACAAUGGGGGGAACCCUGAUCCAGCGACGCCGCGUGAGUGAAGAAGUAUUUCGGUAUGUAAAGCUCUAUCAGCAGGGAAGAAAGAAAUGACGGUACCUGACUAAGAAGCCCCUGCUAACUACGUGCCAGCAGCCGCGGUAAUACGUAGGGGGCAAGCGUUAUCCGGAUUUACUGGGUGUAAAGGGAGCGUAGACGGCGAUGCAAGUCUGAAGUGAAAGGCGGGGGCACAACCCCCGGACUGCUUUGGAAACUGUAUGGCUGGAGUGCAGGAGAGGUAAGUGGAAUGCCUAGUGUAGCGGUGAAAUGCGUAGAUAUUAGGAGGAACACCAGUGGCGAAGGCGGCUUACUGGACUGUAACUGACGUUGAGGCUCGAAAGCGUGGGGAGCAAACAGGAUUAGAUACCCCAGUAGUC
rnacentral:rRNA from 1 species